AAAAAAAAAAUACCUUCAUGUAGAAACAGAGAGAUCUAAAUGCAAACCAAAUUUGCUGGCCCAGAGGUGUCAGGGUAGAAUUUGUCACGUUUUUUGGAGAAGUUCAGAAGGAAACUACUACUUCUAAACAGAAGCAAGUACAUCUGGGAUGUAACCAUUUAAUAAAGGGACGUUUCAGAAUUACUCUACUUCCUUGUGGUCUUUUGGGCUGGUGAUUUGCAUUCUGCUAGCCCGUGAGUUGGAUGACAAGUCUAAGAGACUAAACGUAAAGGUCACAAGAUAUGGGAUUAGUCUAAUCCAAACCAGAUGUUUACAUGACACAUGCAUGGUGUUUACCCAUAACCAUCAGCUUCUGAUUCAGCCAGCAAAGAGAAACAAGAAAUUCUAUGGUGAGUCAAGUAGCUCUUUCGUGAGGUCAGAGGAGUCUUAUCUUGGGAGGACUGCCAAGACAGGGCAAACUGGUCGGAGAUGGAUGUCUGUACUGCAGCUUUCUCAGACUCCAAGAGGUGAAUCACAGCUGCAGGGUCUUUGUCUGAACCUUGCUCAGAAGUGGAGACAACAGAACCAGUCUUGAUAUUCCUAUCUGGCAAGCCCUCUAGCAGCAAAAUCCCUUCUCUACUGUUUGACAUUCUCCUUUAUUGAUGUCAAGGACAGAGACAGCCCUUCAUGCUUCUCAGUCUGAUGUACACACCAUCCCUUGAUUCUGCACUCCCAACUUGCAGGUGAGAUCUGCAUCCCACACUUGUCAUAUUUCAAGAUAUUUUUCAAUGCAUUGGUGUCACUUUCUGUGCAAAUGAAAUCUUUUUGUAAAAUCAAACAUAUUCUUCAUUAUUUGCUGUUCCACUGCUCUCUGUAAUCUGCAGACUUUUCUGACAACUACUGUAAAUCUUGGUAGGACAUACAUUCAAAACUUCACCUUAGAAGAUGGGAUAGGGAUCACAAUUAACGUAUGAUAUAUGGUCCCUAUAAUGACAUAUUUUUAAAGAUACCCAUAAAAAUUUAAAAAGCCCUUGUAGCUCUUUUAGAGUUGAUGGCAAUGGUGUAAAUGGCAAACAAUUUUCAUUAUAUUUGCAUCAAUAUGCUUUGAAAUAUUUUAAUCUGCUAUAUUAAAUACUUAUGACUAGGAUCAAAUCAUUAUGAUUUAUUAAGCCAAGAGCCCAGAUAUGCAUGGUAAAGUGUGCUUUCCAGAGCUAGAAAGAGCUCUAAGCAGUGGUAUUGACAGCCACAAGGGAUUAGUAAUGAAAUGCUGAAACAGGGAAAUUUCAGAAUAAGAAAUUUCUCUGUAUGUCCAACUGUCCAUAAAACAUUCCCUAUGAUUACAUUCAUUCUGUUACAGACUUCUUUACUUAGUGUCCAAUUCUCCUUCUGAGGUAGCCUCUCCUGUGAGCAGAUGAGUUCUUUCUCCAUUUUUUUUCAUCACAUUAGCGGUCGUGGGCACAUUAUAAUGUGAUUAAGCAUUUCUUGGAAUGAAGCAGAGUAUUAAGUGUGAAAAGAAAGGUUUUGACAGAUCCAUCUAGUCCAACACCAUGAAACACAGAAAAUGACUGAAUUACUUAAUGAAAAACAAAAUAAGG
ensembl:lncRNA